AUGCUCUCUAGCAUUCAGCAAGGAAACAGAUGGAAGCUGGAACACAGCUUACUCAUAGCUUUUAAAUGUGAUGGGUCAGCACUAAACAAAGCUCUUACUGUGCACAAGAGAAUGUAUACGACCACUGCAGCAACAAGACAACGCAUGCAUAAGGUAAUUAAUUGCUCUCAAGAUGUGGUGGCCCUAUAUUUUCGAUGUUUGGGUUACAGGACAGCUGUUAAUUGGUGUGUGAAUAUUCUGAGUAAAGCGGAUCUAAAUAGAUUAUCAGGUAAGUGAAAUAGGCAUCAUUUGUGAUUAAGAGAUCCCCAAAUUUUAUGUUCUUCAUGCCUUAAACUAUCCCCAAUCUAAAUUUUCCACUGUAUUUUAUAAACAGCUCAUCUCAACAAAUAUUUACCAUUACUUUUCUUGAAAAAUUGAAAAAACAUCUGAAACAUGUUCCCUAGACAAAAUUAAACUGGUAGGCCUUUAUUAGCUACUGAAUCUAAGUAAAAAUUAGUUUAUAAGAUUAGCACCCACAAAAAUACACAAUGAG
rnacentral:lncRNA from 1 species